AUACGUAGGGUGCAAGCGUUAAUCGGAAUUACUGGGCGUAAAGCGUGCGCAGGCGGUUUUGUAAGACAGUGGUGAAAUCCCCGGGCUCAACCUGGGAACUGCCAUUGUGACUGCAAGGCUGGAGUGCGGCAGAGGGGGAUGGAAUUCCGCGUGUAGUAGUGAAAUGCGUAUAAAUGCGGAGGAACACCGGUGGCGAAGGCAAUCCCCUGGUCCGUCACGGACGCUCAUGCACGAAAGCGCGGGGAGCAAACAGGGUUAAAACCCCUGGUAGUCCACGCCCUAAAGGUUGUCAACAGGUGGUUGGGGAUUGAUUUUCUCAUUAACGAAGCUAACGCGUGAAGUGGUCCGCCUGGGGAGUACGGUCGCAAGGUUGAAACUUAAAGGAAUUGACGGGG
rnacentral:rRNA from 1 species